GGAUGCGAUCAUACCAGCACUAAUGCACCGGAUCCCAUCAGAACUCCGCAGUUAAGCGAGCUUGGGCGAGAGUAGUACUAGGAUGGGUGAUCUCCCGGGAAGUCCUCGUGUUGCAUCCCUCUUUUAUGUUAACC
rnacentral:rRNA from 1 species